rnacentral:SRP_RNA from 1 species
GCUGGGUGUGGUGGUGCAUGCCUGUAAUCCCAGCUAUUCGGGAAGCUGAGGCAGGAGAAUUGCUUGAACCCAGGAGGCGGGGUUUGCAGUGAGCCAAGAUCAUGCCACUGCAUUCCAGCCUGGGCAACAGAGCAACACUCUGUCUCAA